rnacentral:tRNA from 1 species
CAGAAAAUAGUUUAAUUAGAACAUAAAUUUUGGAGAUUUAAAGAGAUUUAAUCUUUUCUGA